GUGUUGUAGGAAAGAAGAGGGGAUCAGCACUCCUCUUGGAAAGGAUGGAAAAGGCCCUCGGCUCGCUUAGCACGCAGAGGAUAAGGCGUUGCCACCUGCUUCGAGGCUCUAACCAUCGUUUUCA
ensembl:snRNA